AACGAACGCUGGCGGCAUGCCUAACACAUGCAAGUCGAACGAGACCUUCGGGUCUAGUGGCGCACGGGUGCGUAACGCGUGGGAAUCUGCCCUCUGGUACGGAAUAACUCAGGGAAACUUGAGCUAAUACCGUAUAAUGACUUCGGUCCAAAGAUUUAUCGCCUGAGGAUGAGCCCGCGUCGGAUUAGCUAGUUGGUGAGGUAAAAGCUCACCAAGGCGACGAUCCGUAGCUGGUCUGAGAGGAUGAUCAGCCACACUGGGACUGAGACACGGCCCAGACUCCUACGGGAGGCAGCAGUGGGGAAUAUUGGACAAUGGGCGAAAGCCUGAUCCAGCAAUGCCGCGUGAGUGAUGAAGGCCUUAGGGUUGUAAAGCUCUUUUACCCGGGAUGAUAAUGACAGUACCGGGAGAAUAAGCCCCGGCUAACUCCGUGCCAGCAGCCGCAGUAACAC
rnacentral:rRNA from 1 species